GGGCUGCAGUAGGGAAUAUUGCGCAAUGGACGCAAGUCUGACGCAGCAACGCCGCGUGGGUGAUGAAGCUCCUUGGAGUGUAAAACCCUGUCAGUGGGGAAGAAACGUAUGGGUAGUAACUGAUCCAUACCUGACGGUACCCACAGAGGAAGUCCCGGCUAACUCCGUGCCAGCAGCCGCGGUAAUACGGGGGGGACGAGCGUUGUUCGGAUUUACUGGGCGUAAAGGGCGCGUAGGCGGACCUUCAAGUCGGAUGUGAAACCUGUCGGCUUAACUGACAGCCUGCACCCGAUACUGUUGGCCUUGAGUACGGGAGAGGAGAGCGGAAUUCCUGGUGUAGCGGUGAAAUGCGUAGAUAUCAGGAAGAACACCAGUUGCGAAGGCGGCUCUCUGGACCGAUACUGACGCUGAAGCGCGAAGGCUUGGGGAGCAAACAGGAUUAGAUACCCGUGUAGUC
rnacentral:rRNA from 1 species